rnacentral:rRNA from 1 species
UUUUAUUGGUGCUUGCACCUUUAAAAUUUUAGCGGCGGACGGGUGAGUAACACGUGGGUAACCUACCUUAUAGAUUGGGAUAACUCCGGGAAACCGGGGCUAAUACCGAAUAAUACUUUUUAACACAUGUUUUGAAGUUGAAAGACGGUUUCGGCUGUCACUAUUAAAUGGACCCGCGGCGCAUUAACUAGUUGGUGAGGUAACGGCUCACCAAGGCAACGAUGCGUAACCCACCUGAGAGGGUGAUCGGCCACACUGGGACUGAAACACGGCCCAAACUCCUACGGGAGGCAGCAGUAGGGAAUCUUCCACAAUGGACGAAAGUCUGAUGGAGCAACGCCCCGUGAGUGAAGAAGGAUUUCGGUUCGUAAAACUCUGUUGCAAGGGAAGAACAAGUAACGUAAUAACUGGCCCUACCUUGGCGGUACCUUGUUACAAAGCCACGGCUAACUACGUGCCAACAGCCGCGGUUAUACCUAGGUGGCAAGCGUUGUCCGGAAUUAUUGGGCGUAAAGCGCGCGCCCGUGGUUUCCUAAGUCUGAUGUGAAAGCCCCCGGCUCAACCCGGGAGGGUCAUUGGAAACUGGGGAACUUGAGUGCAGAAGAGGAUAGUGGAAUUCCAAGUGUAUCGGUGAUAUGCGUAGAGAUUUGGAAGAACACCAAUGGCGAAUGCGACUGUCUGGUCUGUAACUGACACUGAGGCGCCGAAAGCGUGGGGAGCAAUCAGGAUUAGAUAUCCUG